rnacentral:tRNA from 1 species
UCCCCGGUGGCGCAGUGGUAGCGCAGUGGACUGUUAAUCCAUGUGUCGUAGGUUCGAAUCCUACCCGGGGAGCCA